UCUCAAUGUAUUCAUUAUAUAUAUUGAACACAAAUUUAUAAUUAUUACAUAAUCACAAAAAAUAAUUAAAUUUACAAUUCGAAUGUUAUAUAUAUUUAAUACAAAUUUACGGGUCACCAUUAAAUUCGAACAAAUCACAAGCUAGCUUCUUUCUCUAGUUCUGUAUCCACGUACUUAUGUCCUAUACUUAAAAAUUCAACGUACUUAAUGGCAAAUAUGCCGCAGUCGUCGCUACAAUUGAACAAGAAUGGAUCAGUUCAGUACUACUGUAUAGCUAAAAAUUAAAUCUGAAAGAUGAAAACAAUUAAGUUUAAAGACUUACCUUAUGGACUGUCGCGAUGUCGUAGUGUUUCAAACAAUCCGCAAUCUGUCCUGUACAGUCAUCCCCGCUCAUCUGGCCAUCAUAGGAACAAUUACAGCUACGGACUCCAAAUUUUGCUCCAGCUGGCCUUGUGUCAAACAUGAAUGAUCUAAGUCGUACACAUAUAUAGUCGUGUUAGCAAAAACGAUCUCCAGCUUAACAUAGUGAUUAUUGAUGCACGCUAGAAUGUACAUAUGUGUACAACCCUCCCAUGAUUUCCCCCCGACACUCAACGACAUUCCUAUGACCCACUCGAGCAUAUAUUUUGGCACCGCGUACUCGUUACCCAUAAGUUGGAGCGAUUGAUACUCUAUGGUAACGACACGCAGGAACUCGAUGUUUAAUAUGACUCGAUCAUGGAUGUCAAAUGAUUUUGGAUGUCUUUGAGCUCGAUCUCGCAGCAAGUCCAUGGCCAAGUCGAUGUACUGCAUUAGGAAACACAAAAAAAGUAUGAGUUAUUCAUUUAAUAAACUUAUAUCGUCGACGAGCUAAGCUCCCAAAGUGGUGAUAUC
rnacentral:lncRNA from 1 species